rnacentral:rRNA from 1 species
GAACGCUGGCGGCGUGCCUAACGCAUGCAAGUCGAGCGGGGAUGGUAGCUGAAGGUGAUGAGCUGGAAGCUAUCAUCUUAGCGGCGGACGGGUGAGUAACACGUGAGCAACCUACCCUCAGCACGGGGAUAACAGCUCGAAAGGGCUGCUAAUACCCGAUGGGACCACGUCAUCGCAUGGUGAUGUGGUGAAAGGGUGGACGUAAGGUCCAUACCGGCUGGGGAUGGGCUCGCGGCCCAUCAGCUAGUUGGUGGGGUAACGGCCUACCAAGGCGACGACGGGUAGCCGGCCUGAGAGGGUGACCGGCCACAGUGGGACUGAGACACGGCCCACACUCCUACGGGAGGCAGCAGCGGGGAAUCUUGCGCAAUGGGCGAAAGCUCUGACGCAGCGACGCCGCGUGAGGGAAGGAGCCCUUCGGGGUGUAAACCUCUUUGGACGGGGAGAGGUAGGAGAUAGUACCCGUUUAAAAAGCCCACGGCUAACUACGUGCCAGCAGCCGCGGUAAUACGUAGGUGGCGAGCGUUGUCCGGAAUUACUGGGCGUAAAGGGUGCGUAGGCGGCCUGGUAAGUUGAGCGUGAAAUUUUUGGGCUCAACCCAAAAGGAGCGUUCAAGACUGCCAGGCUUGAGUGCGGGAGAGGACGGCGGAUUUCCCGGUGUAGCGGUGAAAUGCGUAGAUAUCGGGAGGAACACUCAGUGGCGAAGGCGGCCGUCUGGACCGUAACUGACGCUGAGGCACGAAAGCGUGGGGAGCGAACCAGGAUUAGAUACCCUGGUAGUCCCACGCUGUAAACGAUGGAUGCUAGGUGUGGGGGAGAAAGAACUUCUUCCGUGCCGU